rnacentral:snRNA from 1 species
UUCGCUUUGGCGGUAAGUAUACUAAAAUUGAAAGGAUACAGAGAAGAUUAGCAUGGCCCUGUGCAAGGAUAAUACGCAAAAUAUAAUGUAUCGAGGACAGCGAAUGAUU